rnacentral:rRNA from 1 species
GUUGCAUGGCUGUCGUCAGCUCGUGUCGUGAGAUGUUCGGUUAAGUCCGCUAGCGAGCGCAACCCUCGUCGUAUGUUAUAUGUGUCAUACGAGACUGCCGGUAAAAAGCCGGAGGAAGGUGAGGAUGAUGUCAAGUCAGCAUGACCUUUAUAUCCAGGGCUACACACACGCUACAAUGGUCUGUACAAUGGGUAGCCAAGCCGCGAGGCGGAGCCAAUCCUGAAAGCAGGCCUCAGUUCAGAUUGCAGUCUGCAACUCGACUGCAUGAAGCCGGAGUUGCUAGUAACCGCAGGUCAGCAAUACUGCGGUGAAUACGUUCCCGGGUCUU